rnacentral:rRNA from 1 species
UACGGAGGAUGCGAGCGUUAUCCGGAUUUAUUGGGUUUAAAGGGUGCGUAGGUGGUGAUUUAAGUCAGCGGUGAAAGUUUGUGGCUCAACCAUAAAAUUGCCGUUGAAACUGGGUUACUUGAGUGUGUUUAAGGUAGGCGGAAUGCGUGGUGUAGCGGUGAAAUGCAUAGAUAUCACGCAGAACUCCGAUUGCGAAGGCAGCUUACUAAACCAUAACUGACACUGAAGCACGAAAGCGUGGGGAUCAAACAGG